GGCUACGGCCGCGCCACCCUGAACGCACCCGAUCCCGUCUGAUCUCGGAAGCUAAGCAGGGUGGGGCCUGGUUAGUACUUGGAUGGGAGACCACCCAGGACGACCAGGCGCUGUAGGCG
rnacentral:rRNA from 1 species